rnacentral:rRNA from 1 species
UACAGAGGUCUCAAGCGUUGUUCGGAUUCAUUGGGCGUAAAGGGUGCGUAGGUGGCGCCGUAAGUCAGGUGUGAAAUUUCGGAGCUCAACUCCGAAACUGCAUUUGAUACUGCGGUGCUUGAGGACUGGAGAGGAGACUGGAAUUCACGGUGUAGCAGUGAAAUGCGUAGAUAUCGUGAGGAAGACCAGUGGCGAAGGCGGGUCUCUGGACAGUUCCUGACACUGAGGCAGCGAAGGCCAGGGGAGCAAACGGG